rfam:Eucalyptus grandis cultivar BRASTZ1 unplaced genomic scaffold scaffold_3, whole genome shotgun sequence.
GGACGGUGACGAUUGUAUCGUGAAAGGUCUCGUUCGUCGUAACUGGCUCCGAUUCAGGGGCCUUGCCGACCAUCCUGAUAUAUCACCACCCAUAUUCUGAGUCC